rnacentral:rRNA from 1 species
AUGCGGUAUGACGGUACCCUUUCGAAUAAGAGGUUGCUAACUCUGUGCCAGCAGCAGCGGUAAUACAGAGACCUCGAGCGUUAUCCGGAUUUACUGGGCGUAAAGCGUCUGUAGGGGGUUUGUUAAGUUCCAAGUAAAAUCUUAAGGCUCAACUUUAAGUUCGCUUGGAAAACUAAUAAACUGGAGUCCAGCAGAGGUGCAUGGAACUUGCGGUGUAGGAGUGAAAUCCGUUGAUAUCGCAAGGAACACCAAAGGCGAAGGCAUUGCACUGGGCUGGUACUGACCCUGAGAGACGAAAGCGUGGGGAGCAAAGCGGAUUAGAUACCCGUGUAGUCCACGCCGUAAACGAUGGAUACUAGAUGUUCGGGGAUUCGACCCCCUGGGUGUCACAGCUAACGCGUUAAGUAUCCCGCCUGGGAAGUACGGCCGCAAGGCUAAAACUCAAAGGAAUAGACGGGGAUCCGCACAAGCGGUGGAGCGUCUGGUUUAAUUUGAUAGUAAGCAAUGGACCUCACCAAGGUUUGACAUCCUAUGACAACCCUGGAAACAGGGCUUCCUUCGGGCAUAGUGACAGGUGCUGCAUGGUCGUCGUCAGUUCGUGCCGUGAGGUGUUCCGUUAAGUCGGGAAACGAACGAAACCCUCGUCGCAUGUUACAAAUUUCAUGCGAGACUGCCCGGGUCAACCGGGAGGAAGGCGGGGAUGACGUCAGAUCAGCAUGGCCCUUAUACCUUGGGCUACACAGGCGCUACAAUGGCCGGUACAAAGGGUUGCAAAACCGCGAGGUGAAGCUAAUCCCAUAAAGCCGGUCCAAGUUCGGAUUGGAGGCUGCAAUUCGCCUCCAUGAAGUUGGAAUCGCUAGUAAUCGUGGAUCAGCCAUACCACGGUGAAUACGUUCCCGGAUCUUGUACUCACCGCCCGUCACACCAAGAGAGUUGGUAGCUCCUGAAGC